GACGAACGCUGGCGGCGUGCCUAAUACAUGCAAGUUGAGCGCUGAAGGUUGGUACUUGUACCAACUGGAUGAGCAGCGAACGGGUGAGUAACGCGUGGGGAAUCUGCCUUUGAGCGGGGGACAACAUUUGGAAACGAAUGCUAAUACCGCAUAAAAACUUUAAACACAAGUUUUAAGUUUGAAAGAUGCAAUUGCAUCACUCAAAGAUGAUCCCGCGUUGUAUUAGCUAGUUGGUGAGGUAAAGGCUCACCAAGGCGAUGAUACAUAGCCGACCUGAGAGGGUGAUCGGCCACAUUGGGACUGAGACACGGCCCAAACUCCUACGGGAGGCAGCAGUAGGGAAACUUCGGCAAUGGACGAAAGUCUGACCGAGCAACGCCGCGUGAGUGAAGAAGGUUGUCGGAUCGUAAAACUCGGUUGGUAGAGAAGAACGUUGGUGAGAGUGGAAAGCUCAUCAAGUGACGGUAACUACCCAGAAAGGGACGGCUAACUACGUG
rnacentral:rRNA from 1 species